CCUACGGGGGGCAGCAGUGGGGAAUCUUUGGCAAUGGGCGCAAGCCUGACCCAGCAACGCCGCGUGAAGGAAGAAAGCUUUCGGGUUGUAAACUUCUUUUAUUGAGGACGAAACAAAUGACGGUACUCCAUGAAUAAGCCACGGCUAACUACGUGCCAGCAGCCGCGGUAAUACGGAGGUGGCCAGCGUUAUCCGGAUUUACUGGGUGUAAAGGGCGGGUAGGCGGUAUUGCAAGUCAUAUGUGAAACCCAUGGGCUCAACCCAUGGCCUGCAUUUGAAACUGUAGGUCUUGAGGGAUGGAGAGGCAGGCGGAAUUCCGGGUGUAGCGGUGAAAUGCGUAGAUAUACGGAGGAACACCAGUGGCGAAGGCGGCCUGCUGGACAUUAACUGACGCUGAGGCGCGAAAGCGUGGGGAGCAAACAGGAUUAGAUACCCUGGUAGUC
rnacentral:rRNA from 1 species